rnacentral:rRNA from 1 species
AACGAACGCUGGCGGCAUGCCUAACACAUGCAAGUCGAACGAGACCUUCGGGUCUAGUGGCGCACGGGUGCGUAACGCGUGGGAACCUGCCCUUAGGUUCGGAAUAACUCCCCGACAGGGGUGCUAAUACCGGAUAAUGUCUUCGGACCAAAGAUUUAUCGCCUUUGGAUGGGCCCGCGUUGGAUUAGCUAGUUGGUAGGGUAAAAGCCUAUCAAGGCGACGAUCCAUAGCUGGUCUGAGAGGAUGAUCAGCCACACUGGGACUGAGACACGGCCCAGACUCCUACGGGAGGCAGCAGUGGGGAAUAGUGGACAAUGGGCUAAAGCCUGAUCCAGCAAUGCCGCGUGAGUGAUGAAGGCCUUAGGGUUGUAAAGCUCUUUUACCCGGGAUGAUAAUGACAGUACCGGGAGAAUAAGCUCCGGCUAACUCCGUG